rnacentral:rRNA from 1 species
CAAGCGUUAUCCGGAGUUAUUGGGUUUAAAGGGUGCGUAGGAGGGUAGGUAAGUCAGUGGUGAAAUCUCCGGGCUCAACUCGGAAACUGCCGUUGAUACUGUCUGUCUUGAAUACCGUGGAGGUGAGCGGAAUAUGUCAUGUAGCGGUGAAAUGCUUAGAUAUGACAUAGAACACCGAUUGCGAAGGCAGCUCACUACACGAAUAUUGACUCUGAGGCACGAAAGCGUGGGGAUCAAACA